rnacentral:lncRNA from 1 species
CUCGCCUUGCCGCAGGAGACUCAGACCCCCUCCCACAGGGCAGUCACCAGCCUCCUCCCAGUAGCAAAUGAUUUGAUGGGGGCUCUUUUCUUUCGAAAGGACCUGGGGGUCAGCGGACGUUCGGACUCAUUGCGAAGUGAAGAACCUUACUGGGGGAUUUUUUUUCUUUCAUUCUUUCCCUUUUUUUUUUUGUAAUUAAAAAACCCUUUUCAGAACUAAAGGAGGAAACAGAUUCUUCCCUUUCCCAUUUUAAGCACUUAUGGGAGGAAGCGAAGAUAGGAAAGGCGAACCAGUCAACUGGAGUGGAGUAGGAGCUCAGAUGAAAAAGAAGACAGGAAAAGGAGAGAGGGAAACCUUAAGAUCCUGGCACCAAGAAGGAGCUGGGGGCUCUGACCACGGCCCGCAUGAGGAGUUAAACCCUUUCUAACUAACCUUCCAGGCAUCUAGAGACAGACCUCUCAGAUCUGAAAAGAAAGCCUGGCUGCCUUUAUUUAUAUUCAAUCUUCAAAGCCUAAUAUAUUAAAAUGAGAGUUCAUUUUUCCCACGACAUUCUGGAAAUCUUGUAUACAAGCAAAGAAAUGACCAUUUAUAAUGUUCUGCAGAAGAAUCCUGGAGCUUUAGGCCCUGGUGGAUUAUAAAUAAGAAAAAAAGGAACAAAUAUCUCAAAAUGUAUUGAUCUGAGUGCUGAAUAAUCUCAUUCUUCAAAGUGGAAAGUAACCCUGUUUUUGCAGAUAAGGAAACAGAGUUGUUAUUGCAAUCAACUGGACUGUUUUUGAAAUGCAAGCGAGGCACGUACACCCUCUAGUGGAGAAUCUAAUUAGCAAUGGAAUUUUACAAAAGGAAUUUCUAUGGAAAGAUUUUGUCAAGGAACAGCUGGACAUUGUCACCUCCAUGGUCCAAAUCUAAAUCUUCUAAUGAAUAGAAAAAUUCAGUUUCUCAAUGAAAAGAAGGUAGAUAAAAGUAGCAAUCUCUUAUUGAUUGAGUUAACAUUAAUUAUUGAAUAUCAAAUGCAGACCAUGUAUUGUUUUAGGGGUUUUUUGUUUUUUGUUUUUGUACCAGGGAUUGAACUUGGGACCUUGCGCUUGUGAGACAGGCGUCGGAACCACUGAGCUAAAUCCCCGGCCCAGGAGUUCUUUUUUUAAAAAGGACACAUUCAGUUUUAGAUUCUAUAGAAUAUUCAAGUGCAGAUGUCGGG